rnacentral:rRNA from 1 species
UACAGAGGUCUCAAGCGUUGUUCGGAUUCACUGGGCGUAAAGGGUGCGUAGGCGGUUUGACAAGUCUGAUGUGAAAUCCCGCAGCUUAACUGCGGAACUGCAUUGGAAACUGUUUGACUAGAGGAAUGGAGGGGAGACUGGAAUACUUGGUGUAGCAGUGAAAUGCGUAGAUAUCAAGUGGAACACCAGUGGCGAAGGCGAGUCUCUGGACAUUUCCUGACGCUGAGGCACGAAAGCCAGGGGAGCAAACGGG